rnacentral:rRNA from 1 species
GUAGUCUCGCACAGAUGCAUAUCAAUAAGCGGAGGAAAAGAAACUAACAAGGAUUCCCUUAGUAACGGCGAGUGGAGCGGGAAGAGCUCAAAUUUGAAAUCUUGAAAGGUCACCUUUCACGAAUUGUAGUUUAAAGAAGUGUUUUCUGUUACGAUCGUAAUAUAAGUUCUUUGGAAUAGGACAUCACAGAGGGUGAGAAUCCCGUCUAUGAUUGCGAUUUGUAGCUUUGUGAUUACACUUUCAAAGAGUCGGGUUGUUUGGGAAUGCAGCCCAAAACGGGAGGUAAAUUUCUUCUAAGGCUAAAUAUUGGCGAGAGACCGAUAGCGAACAAGUACCGUGAGGGAAAGAUGAAAAGAACUUUGAAAAGAGAGUUAAAUAGUACGUGAAAUUGUCAAAAGGGAAGCGUUUAACACCAGUGUUGUUUUCUGAAAAUCAACCUCUGUUAGCUUUAUGCAUGUUUGUUUAGACCUAAUCAGCUAUCUUGCAUGUUCUAUUGUUUGCAGUGGUGCACUUUUCAGUUUACAGGUCAACAUCAGUUUUUUUUACCGUAAAAAAGUUAAAGAAAGGUAGCUCAUGGCUCCGGUCGUGAGUGUUAUAGUCUUUUUCCUAUGCGGUAGGAGAGACUGAGGUCUGCAGUGUAGGCUAUUUGGCUAGAUACUCAGGUGCUAUGUGAUACCAUUUUAUAGACAACUUGUUGAUUAUGUUUUGUCUAUUGCAUACUCGCUUGUACUAUCAUACCUACGCUUAGGAUGUUGAGUCGUAGAGCACGCAG